AGGUUUCUCUCUGCAGACUGGAUAAUGAGUGCGGAGGAAGAAAAGUCAGGGUCCGUACCAUCAAGAGACCCUCUUGCUGAGGAGGAAAUUGAGCCCAGUGAUGAGUCAAAUCACCGCCAAUACCUGCACAGGUUAUUUGGUGAGGCGACCGCUAAGUAUUUCCUCAGCCACUCCACCUUGGAGACAGACACGCCCCCAUGGUACACUCACAUGAUGGAUCGCAUGGGAGACAGCGUAGGUGCAGAGGCCGUAUGGAAGGCCUUGAGUGAUCGGACCAGAGCCUUAGUGAUGGAAAUAGAGGCAAACUCUCACCAGGUUGAGGAGGUCAAUUUGGACCGAAAAGGAGCGCGAGGCAGAACCCUUCGCCAUCUGUCCGGAGUCAAGUUGAUGUUCCGUUCAGCUAAAUAUCGUGAAGCAUGUUCCGCCAUACUUCUAGAACGGAAUCCACCACCCUUUUUCCUAGACCUCGAGGGCAGUGGACCUGCUAGGUACCUACAGCAGGAGGACACAACACCAACGAAACCUUUCAAAGAUUAGAUGCUGUUGUCAUGGCAGCAAGUAGCACAUACUUGACAUGCAUUAGCCAGGUUUGAACGAGAUGUUCUCUCCUGUGUUUACUUUAGAAAUGGGUA
ensembl:lncRNA